rnacentral:rRNA from 1 species
UACGUAGGGUGCAAGCGUUGUCCGGAAUUAUUGGGCGUAAAGAGCUCGUAGGCGGUCUGUCGCGUCGGAUGUGAAAAUCCAGGGCUCAACCCUGGACCUGCAUUCGAUACGGGCAGACUAGAGUUCGGUAGGGGAGACUGGAAUUCCUGGUGUAGCGGUGAAAUGCGCAGAUAUCAGGAGGAACACCGGUGGCGAAGGCGGGUCUCUGGGCCGUCCCUGACACUGAGGCGCGAAGGCGUGGGGAGCGAACGGG